rnacentral:rRNA from 1 species
UACGUAGGGGGCUAGCGUUGUCCGGAAUCAUUGGGCGUAAAGCGCGUGUAGGCGGUCCGGUAAGUCCGCUGUGAAAGUCGGGGGCUCAACCCUCGAAUGCCGGUGGAUACUGUCGGGCUAGAGUGCGGAAGAGGCGAGUGGAAUUCCUGGUGUAGCGGUGAAAUGCGCAGAUAUCAGGAGGAACACCUGCGGUGUAGACGGCUUACUGGACCAUCACUGACGCUGAGGCACGAAAGCGUGGGUAGCAAACAGG